GGUUUGUUUCACAUAUGUUCUAUCAAGAUACAAAGCUAUUCCACGAAUCAUCAACAUCUGAUCACAAAAAUCCUGCCAACACCUCUCAACAAGCGACAAGAAAACUACAAGAUCUUCACUUUGGCCAACUAAAGAACGUAGAGCUGCAGCUAUGUGUGAUUCACACUCUUUUUCAAUUCGUUGAUAUAGAUUUCCUCCCAUUUUGUGCAGACAAAGGUCAUUUACAGCCUGAUAAAGCUUUUCUAAAUCACAUGGAUCAGGCUGCUUCAAGAAUAUCGCACUAAUAGCUGACUUUAGAGUUGCCCAAGUAUUUUCCUCAAAGUUUGUCGGCAACGUAGGUUUCGCUUUAAGGAGCUUAAUUACGAGUUUCUUAGCAGGCUGAGGAGGGGUAGCUUUCUUGCGAGACAAAUUGGCCGUAACCCCACCAGCAACUGAAGAGGAAUCGAUGUUGCAAUCCUCCAUCAUGGGGGAGUUUCCAGAAGGGUCGUCGAUAUCGGAGGAAAAGUGAACGUGCUGACCGUUUUUGCUAUCAAUAGAACAAGGUAGAGCUUGUGACUUAGCCUUCUUCAUGGAAGAAUAAGCUGGGGUUCGGCCGGCGGUGCCACCGGUGGUCGGAGUAGAUGAGGAUGAUGAUGAGGGAUUUGUGGGGAUGAAGCGCUUUUUGGGGUUGGUGGUGGGUUGAGAC
rnacentral:misc_RNA from 1 species